GGGGGCAUAGUUUAAUUUGGCUAAAACAUUACUUUUGCAAAGUAAAAAAUUCGGUUCAAAACCGAAUGCCUCCA
rnacentral:tRNA from 1 species